AACGAACGCUGGCGGCAUGCCUAACACAUGCAAGUCGAACGAGACCUUCGGGUCUAGUUGCGCACGGGUGCGUAACGCGUGGGAACCUUCCCUUAGGUUCGGAAUAACUCCCCGAAAGGGGUGCUAAUACCGGAUAAUGUCUUCGGACCAAAGAUUUAUCGCCUUUGGAUGGGCCCGCGUUGGAUUAGCUAGUUGGUAGGGUAAAAGCCUACCAAGGCGACGAUCCAUAGCUGGUCUGAGAGGAUGAUCAGCCACACUGGGACUGAGACACGGCCCAGACUCCUACGGGAGGCAGCAGUGGGGAAUAUUGGAAAAUGGGCGAAAGCCUGAUCCAGCAAUGCCGCGUGAGUGAUGAAGGCCUUAGGGUUGUAAAGCUCUUUUACCCGGGAUGAUAAUGACAGUACCGGGAGAAUAAGCACCGGCUAACUCCGUG
rnacentral:rRNA from 1 species